rnacentral:rRNA from 1 species
GAUUAUAGUCAUACCACCCUGAAUAUGCCCAAUCUCUUCUGACCUUGGAAGCUAGGCAAGGUCAGGUCUGGCUAGCACUUGGAUGGGAGACAUUGAGAACACACACCAGUGUGUCAUAAGCA